CGAGUUGGCUGGGCAGCCGCGUCACUGGUCGAGGGAUCGGUGUCGAGGAAAGUCCGGGCUCCACAGGGCAGGGUGGUUGUUAACGGCAACCCGGGGCGACCCGCGGGACAGUGCCACAGAAAAUAGACCGCCAGCGAGGGCUUUCGAGCCCACGCCGGUAAGGGUGAAACGGUGGUGUAAGAGACCACCAGCGUGCCGGGCGACCGGUGCGGCUAGGUAAACCCCACCCGGAGCAAGGUCAGGAUCCGCGGCUUAGGCUGCGGUGCGCAAGUGUUUGAGGGCGGCUCGCCCGAGCUUGCGGGUAGACCGCUAGAGCGUGCUGGCAACGGCAUGCCGAGAUGGAUGGUUGCCGAACGGGAUUGCCGCGAGGCACCCGGGAACAGGACCCGGCUUAUAGGCCAACUCGUCCC
rnacentral:RNase_P_RNA from 1 species